rnacentral:misc_RNA from 1 species
UGGCUCUCGCAUCGAUGAAGAACGCAGCGAAAUGCGAUAAGUAAUGUGAAUUGCAGAAUUCAGUGAAUCAUCGAAUCUUUGAACGCACCUUGCGCCCUCUGGCAUUCCAGAGGGCAUGCCUGUUUGAGUGUCAUGUGUUAAUAGCACCGUCGUGACUUUUUUGUUGCGAUGCAGUGGACUUGGAUGCCUGCCGCUGUCUGUGGCUCGUCCUUAAAAGCAUUAGCCUUGGCGGUUUGCCUCUGGCCUCAUUGGUGUGAUAGUCUAUCUACGCCUCUGGGUCAGGCCUGUCGGCUUACAAUUUGAGGCCGGAAACGGUUUCUCAAUUUUUUUUGCUUUGACCUCAAAUCAGGUAGGAUUACCCGCUGA